GCGUUAAUCGGAAUUACUGGGCGUAAAGCGCACGCAGGCGGUCUGUCAAGUCGGAUGUGAAAUCCCCGGGCUCAACCUGGGAACUGCAUUCGAAACUGGCAGGCUUGAGUCUUGUAGAGGGGGGUAGAAUUCCAGGUGUAGCGGUGAAAUGCGUAGAGAUCUGGAGGAAUACCGGUGGCGAAGGCGGCCCCCUGGACAAAGACUGACGCUCAGGUGCGAAAGCGUGGGGAGCAAACAGGAUUAGAUACCCUGGUAGUCCACGCCGUAAACGAUGUCUACUUGGAGGUUGUGCCCUUGAGGCGUGGCUUCCGGAGCUAACGCGUUAAGUAGACCGCCUGGGGAGUACGGCCGCAAGGUUAAAACUCAAAUGAAUUGACGGGGGCCCGCACAAGCGGUGGAGCAUGUGGUUUAAUUCGAUGCAACGCGAAGAACC
rnacentral:rRNA from 1 species